CCGGGGGCAGGGAGGUUCGACUCGAGCGAAGCGAGAGAACGUUGCGCCAGCAACGGCCCGCAGGGCGAGCCACGAAGUGGCGAGUAAUCCUCUGGCACCGACCA
rnacentral:sRNA from 1 species